rnacentral:rRNA from 1 species
UACAGAGGAGCCAAGCGUUGUCCGGAUUGACUGGGCGUAAAGCGCACGCAGGCGGACGCGCGCGUGGGGUGUGAAAUCUGGCCGCUUAACGGCCAGGCGCCAUCCCAUACGGCGCGUCUGGAGUGAUGCAGAGCUCGAUGGAAUUGCCGGUGUAGUGGUGAAAUGCGUAGAUAUCGGGAGGAACACCAGUGGCGAAGGCGACUACCUGGCCUGUUCUUGACGCUGAGGCGCGAAAGCUAGGGGAGCAAACGGG